GGUGAUAGAGAACCACUGGAGCUAACUGAAUAAGUACAUGACAUGGCUAGAUCUUUACUUAAGGGGGCAUGAUAGAGAGCAAGGAUACUGGCAAGUCACAAGCUCACCUCAGCACUAUGGAACAGAGGAGGAGGAGGAGGAUAAGGAGGAGGAUUCACAGGUUGGAAGUAUUUCUGUCAGUCAUAGACCAGGCACCUCAGCUCCUUUUCUUAUGCCAACCUUCCUCACAGGAGCUUGGGCAUCCAGCAAAGGCACUGGAUCCCAUGGAUUAAAUCAUUUGGUGAACUAGUGCAUAUUGAAUUCCUCUCCUAUAGGGCCCUGAGUUUGUACAGAGCAUCCACAACUGCUCUGAGUUCUCUGCUUUUAGGUACAAGAAAUUUCUGCCCAUCUUGAAACAUUUUCCUUUUUUUCCGGUUUUAGCACCAGACCCAGCAGUAGCACCUGGUUGUCCCCUGUGGGCCACAGAGCCUGGAGGCUCCCAAGCUGCUAGUUUAAGCUUCCAGGCUUUCACCACCAUUCCCGAGGUGCUGUACACAGAAGAUAUACAUCUUUCUGGAUCUGACAAGUUCAACUUCACCAAAAGAACCCUGCAGCAACCUUUGAAGAAUGGCUCAGAAACUGGAGUGAGUUGCCUGUACACACACAAGAGAAACCAAAGAAGCUCAUUCAGAGACCAAGAGAAGGUUUAUUGGGAUGCAAAAAGAGAAUUUCACUAAGCUGGGCUUUUCCUCCUCCCUUGAAAGAGACAGUCUACUCAAUGAUGAGGAGCACAACAGAAUCCCCAGCCUUUUCCUCUAUCCUCAUGCUACUUUCCCCUCCUCCUGCUAAAUUUCCAUUCUGAUUCUGACCUUAAUAUUCUCUCAAAGAAUCAUUACUUCUCAAUACCCUUUUAUUACACCAACCACAGAAAAUAAACCCUACCCCUAUCUA